GAUAAACGCUGGCGGCGUGCUUAACACAUGCAAGUCGAACGGAAAGGCCCAAGCUUGCUUGGGUACUCGAGUGGCGAACGGGUGAGUAACACGUGGGUGAUCUGCCCUGCACUUCGGGAUAAGCCUGGGAAACUGGGUCUAAUACCGGAUAGGACGAUGGUUUGGAUGCCAUUGUGGAAAGUUUUUUCGGUGUGGGAUGAGCUCGCGGCCUAUCAGCUUGUUGGUGGGGUAAUGGCCUACCAAGGCGUCGACGGGUAGCCGGCCUGAGAGGGUGUACGGCCACAUUGGGACUGAGAUACGGCCCAGACUCCUACGGGAGGCAGCAGUGGGGAAUAUUGCACAAUGGGCGCAAGCCUGAUGCAGCGACGCCGCGUGGGGGAUGACGGCCUUCGGGUUGUAAACUCCUUUCGCUAGGGACGAAGCGUUUUUGUGACGGUACCUGGAGAAGAAGCACCGGCUAACUACGUG
rnacentral:rRNA from 1 species